AGUUCAGUGUCGCGGGCUUGUUUUUUACCCCCUCCUAAGGGGCAGGUCGGACGUUCGAAUCGUCUCGUGGGCGCCA
rnacentral:tRNA from 1 species